AUUGAACGCUGGCGGCAUGGCUAAAGCAUGCAAGUCGAACGUGCCCGGCCCGCAAGGGCUGGGCAAGUGGCGGAAGGGUCAGUAAGACGAUCGAACGUACCCCGGGUGGGGAGUAGCGGCGGGAACGUGCCGGUAUACCCCACUGAUCUCUCCGGAGCAAAGGCCACCGCAAGGUGGGUGCCCGGGCUCGGCGAUCGACCUAUCAGCUAGUUGGCGAGGUAAAGGCUCACCAAGGCGAUGACGGGUAG
rnacentral:rRNA from 1 species